rnacentral:rRNA from 1 species
UACGGGGGGGCAAGGCGUUGUUCGGAAUUACUGGGCGUAAAGGGCUCGUAGGCGGCCAACUAAGUCCGACGUGAAAUCCCCAGGCUUAACCUGGGAACUGCGUCGGAUACUGGAUGGCUUGAAUCCGGGAGAGGGAUGCGGAAUUCCAGGUGUAGCGGUGAAAUGCGUAGAUAUCUGGAGGAACACCGGUGGCGAAGGCGGCAUCCUGGACCGGCAUUGACGCUGAGGAGCGAAAGCCAGGGGAGCAAACGGG